CAGUCGCCGCGGUAAUACGGAGGGCGCGAGCGUUACCCGGAUUUACUGGGCGUAAAGGGCGUGUAGGCGGCCUGGGGCGUCCCAUGUGAAAGGCCACGGCUCAACCGUGGAGGAGCGUGGGAUACGCUCAGGCUAGAGGGUGGGAGAGGGUGGUGGAAUUCCCGGAGUAGCGGUGAAAUGCGCAGAUACCGGGAGGAACGCCGAUGGCGAAGGCAGCCACCUGGUCCACUUCUGACGCUGAGGCGCGAGAGCGUGGGGAGCAAACCGGAUUAGAUACCCCGGUAGUCCCUGUCUCUUAUAC
rnacentral:rRNA from 1 species